AACUGAGGAGCAUGCUGCCCCCCACUGAGUUUGGUGGCAACAGUGGGAUCCAAAGGAGACACCUGAUGGCUUCGAGGAUGAGAAACACAGUCAUUGGUACCCUCAAAACCUUUGAGUUCUCCAUCUUUUUCGCUGUUUCUGAGGGCUGUGGGAGAUGAGCUGCCGUGACCCUCUUACCUUUGUCCGGUGUGAGCUUCUGGAGG